rnacentral:lncRNA from 1 species
GAAAACAUCCCUGAUUAUCGGCAUUGAAAAGCUGCAGCAUCGUGAGAGGCGGCGAAAAGUGAGGUUUGCGGCUUUCUGCAGAGUAGAAACGGCAGCGCUGGAUCUGGGCAGCGCUGGCAUUCUUCAGCGCUGGAUAUGGGCAACGCUGGACUGCAAGGUCAGAGCAGAAAUUGCAGUGCUGAAAACAAAGUCAUUAACACCCAAAAAUCAAAGUAUCCGCACAAGCAACCAAAGACUAGGAACGAAACAAAACGGAAAAACAAAAAAAAAGACAAACAAAAACAAAACUAAACCAACGGUGGGUUGCCUCCCACCAAGCGCUAGUUUUAGAGUCGCCAGCCCGACGUAGAGGAUCCCUUAACCAAAAUCGCUAUGAAACGUCAGCUGAAUUAGUCC